rnacentral:rRNA from 1 species
GACGAACGCUGGCGGCGUGCUUAACACAUGCAAGUCGAGCGGUAAGGCCCUUUCGGGGGUACACGAGCGGCGAACGGGUGAGUAACACGUGGGUGACCUGCCCUUAGCUCUGGGAUAAGCCUGGGAAACUGGGUCUAAUACCGGAUAUGACUCCAUAACGCAUGUUGUGGGGUGGAAAGCCUUGUGCGGCUAGGGAUGGGCCCGCGGCCUAUCAGCUUGUUGGUGGGGUGAUGGCCACCAAGGCGACGACGGGUAGCCGGCCUGAGAGGGCGACCGGCCACACUGGGACUGAGACACGGCCCAGACUCCUACGUGAGGCAGCAGUGGGGAAUCUUGCGCAAUGGGCGAAAGCCUGACGCAGCGACGCCGC